GAUGAACGCUGGCGGCGUGCCUAACACAUGCAAGUCGAACGGAGUUUAUGAAGUUUUCGGACAGAUUAAACUUAGGGGCGGACGGGUGAGUAACGCGGGGGUAACCUGCCUCAUACAGGGGGAUAACAGUUGGAAACGACUGCUAAAACCGCAUAACAUUGCGACCCCGCAGGGGGAUGCAAUUAAAUAUUUAUAGGUAUGAGAGGGGCCCGCGUCUGAUUAGCUAGUUGGUGAGGUAAGGGCUCACCAAGGCAACAAUCAGUAGCCGGCUUGAGAGAGUGACCGGCCACUUUGGGACUGAAACACGGCCCAAACUCCUACGGGAGGCAGCAGUGGGGAAUAUUGCACAAGGGGGGAAACCCUGAUGCACCGACCCCGCGUGAGUGAAAAAGUAUUUCGGUAUGUAAAGCUCUAUCAGCAGGAAAAAAAAUGACGGUCCCUGACUAAAAAGCCCCGGCUAACUACGUG
rnacentral:rRNA from 1 species